rnacentral:rRNA from 1 species
CACGUAGGGGCAAGCGUUGUCCGGAUUUAUUGGGCGUAAAGAGCUCGUAGGCGGCUUAGUAAGUCGGGUGUGAAACCUCCAGGCUCAACCUGGAGACGCCACCCGAUACUGCUGUGGCUAGAGUCCGGUAGGGGAGCGUGGAAUUCCUGGUGUAGCGGUGAAAUGCGCAGAUAUCAGGAGGAACACCGGUGGCGAAGGCGGGUCUCUGGGCCGGAACUGACGCUAAGGAGCGAAAGCGUGGGGAGCGAACAGG